GACGAACGCUGGCGGCGUGCCUAAUACAUGCAAGUUGAGCGCUGAAGGUUGGUCCUUGUACCAACUGGAUGAGCAGCGAACGGGUGAGUAACGCGUGGGGAAUCUGCCUUUGGGCGGGGGACAACAUUUGGAAACGAAUGCUAAUACCGCAUAAAAACUUUAAACACAAGUUUUAAGUUUGAAAGAUGCAAUUGCAUCACUCAAAGAUGAUCCCGCGUUGUAUUAGCUAGUUGGUGAGGUAAAGGCUCACCAAGGCGAUGAUACAUAGCCGACCUGAAAGGGUGAUCGGCCACAUUGGGACUGAGACACGGCCCAAACUCCUACGGGAGGCAGCAGUAGGGAAUCUUCGGCAAUGGACGAAAGUCUGACCGAGCAACGCCGCGUGAGUGAAGAAGGGUUUCGGAUCGUAAAACUCUGUUGGUAGAGAAGAACGUUGGUGAGAGUGGAAAGCUCAUCAAGUGACGGUAACUACCCAGAAAGGGACGGCUAACUACGUG
rnacentral:rRNA from 1 species